CCUACGGGUGGCAGCAGUGGGGAAUAUUGCGCAAUGGGCGAAAGCCUGACGCAGCGACGCCGCGUGAGGGAUGAAGGUCUUCGGAUCGUAAACCUCUGUCAGCAGGGAAGAACGGUCACUGUGCUAAUCAGCAGUGAAUUGACGGUACCUGCAAAGGAAGCACCGGCUAACUCCGUGCCAGCAGCCGCGGUAAUACGGAGGGUGCGAGCGUUAAUCGGAAUUACUGGGCGUAAAGCGCUCGUAGGCGGUAUGUCAAGUCAAGGGUGAAAGCCCCGCGCUCAACGUGGGAACUGCCUUUGAAACUGGCAAACUGGAGUGUGUGAGAGGAUAGUGGAAUACCAGGUGUAGGAGUGAAAUCCGGAGAUAUCUGGAGGAACAUCAGGGGCGAAGGCGACUAUCUGGCACAUAACUGACGCUGAGGAGCGAAAGCGUGGGUAGCAAACAGGAUUAGAUACCCCUGUAGUC
rnacentral:rRNA from 1 species